GUGUUAGGGGGUUUCCGCCCCUUAGUGCUGCAGCUAACGCAUUAAGCACUCCGCCAGGGGAGUACGACCGCAAGGUAGAAACUCAAAGGAAUUGACGGGGGCCCGCACAAGCGGUGGAGCAUGUGGUUUAAAUCGAAGCAACGCGAAGAACCUAACCAGGUCUUGACAUCCUUUGACCACUCAGGAGACAGAGCUUUCCCUUCGGGGACAAAGAGACAGGUGGAGCAUGGUAGUCGUCAGCUCGUGUCGAGAGAUGUAGGUUUAAGUCCCGCAACG
rnacentral:rRNA from 1 species